AGCGUAGGCGGCGUGGUAAGUCAGAUGUGAAAUCCCGGGGCUCAACCUCGGAACUGCAUCCGAUACUGCCAUGCUAGAGGAUUGGAGAGGUAGCUGGAAUUCUUGGUGUAGCAGUGAAAUGCGUAGAGAUCAAGAGGAACACUCGUGGCGAAAGCGAGCUACUGGACAAUAACUGACGCUGAGGCUCGAAGGCUAGGGUAGCGAAAG
rnacentral:rRNA from 1 species